CAGUCGAGGGGCAGCAUUGGUACUUGUACCAGAUGGCGACCGGCGCACGGGUGCGUAACGCGUAUGCAACCUACCUUAUACAGAGGGAUAGCCCAUGGAAACGUGGAUUAACACCUCAUAGUAUCAUUUUAUCGCAUGAUGAGAUGAUUAAAAUUUCGAUGGUAUAAGAUGGGCAUGCGUAGGAUUAGGUAGUUGGUGAGGUAACAGCUCACCAAGCCGACGAUCCUUAGGGGUUCUGAGAGGAUUAUCCCCCACACUGGUACUGAGACACAGACCAGACUCCUACGGGAGGCAGCAGUGAGGAAUAUUGGUCAAUGGACGCAAGUCUGAACCAGCCAUCCCGCGUGCAGGAUGACGGCCCUAUGGGUUGUAAACUGCUUUUGUUUGCCAAGAAUGGUUACUACGUGUAGUAAUUUGACGGUAGCAAAUGAAUAAGGACCGGCUAACUCCGUGCCAGCAGCCGCGGUAAUACGGAGGGUCCAAGCGUUAUCCGGAUUCAUUGGGUUUAAAGGGUGCGCAGGCGGAUCUUUAAGUCAGUGGUGAAAUCUUGCCGCUUAACGGUAAAAUUGCCAUUGAUACUGAAGUUCUUGAAUAUGGUUGAGGUAGGCGGAAUGUGUUGUGUAGCGGUGAAAUGCAUAGAUAUGACACAGAACGCCGAUUGCGAAGGCAGCUUACUAAGCCAUUAUUGACGCUGAGGCACGAAAGCGUGGGGAGCGAACAGGAUUAGAUACCCUGGUAGUCCACGCCGUAAACGAUGUUCACUCGCUGUCUG
rnacentral:rRNA from 1 species